CACGUAGGGGGCAAGCGUUGUCCGGAUUCAUUGGGCGUAAAGAGCUCGUAGGCGGCUCGGCAAGUCGGGUGUGAAACCUCCAGGCUCAACCUGGAGACGCCACUCGAUACUGCUGUGGCUAGAGUCCAGUAGGGGAGCGUGGAAUUCCUGGUGUAGCGGUGAAAUGCGCAGAUAUCAGGAGGAACACCAGCGGCGAAGGCGGCGCUCUGGGCUGGAACUGACGCUGAGGAGCGAAAGCGUGGGGAGCAAACAGG
rnacentral:rRNA from 1 species